GAGGUAUAUAGUUCACUAUUUACUAAGUGAGUCGCGAACGGGUGAGUAACGCGUAGGUAACCUACCUUUAAGCGGGGGAUAACUAUUGGAAACGAUAGCUAAUACCGCAUAAUAUUGAUAAACUCAUGUUAAUCAAUUCGAAAGAUACUACUGUAUCACUUAGAGAUGGACCUGCGUUUGUAUUAGCUAAUAGGUGAGGUAACGGCUUCACCUAGGCUACGAUACAUAGCCGAACCUUGAGAGGGUUGAUCGGCCACACUUGGGACUUGAGACACGGCCCAGAACUCCUACGGGAGGCAGCAGUAGGGAAUCUUUCGGCAAUGGGGGGAACCCUUGACCGAGCAACGCCGCGUGAGUGAAGAAGGUUUUUCGGAUCGUAAAGCUCUGUUGUAAGAGAAGAACGAGUAUGAGAGUGGAAAGUUCAUACUGUGACGGUAUCUUACCAGAAAGGGACGGCUAACUACGUGCCAGCAGCCGCGGUAAUACGUAGGUCCCGAGCGUUGUCCGGAUUUAUUGGGCGUAAAGCGAGCGCAGGCGGUUCUUUAAGUCUGAAGUUAAAGGCAGUGGCUUAACCAUUGUACGCUUUGGAAACUGGAGAACUUGAGUGCAGAAGGGGAGAGUGGAAUUCCAUGUGUAGCGGUGAAAUGCGUAGAUAUAUGGAGGAACACCAGUGGCGAAAGCGGCUCUCUGGUCUGUAACUGACGCUGAGGCUCGAAAGCGUGGGGAGCAAACAGGAUUAGAUACCCUGGUAGUCCACGCCGUAAACGAUGAGUGCUAGGUGUUAGGCCCUUUCCGGGGCUUAGUGCCGCAGCU
rnacentral:rRNA from 1 species